rnacentral:rRNA from 1 species
UGCAAUCAGACUUGCCCGCGGGUGAUCAACCCGGUAUUCUUACCGGUGCACUCGCCCGUGGUCAGGCCAGCAUCGGUUUGGGCGGUUGGACAAAAGUCCACCGGAACGUAGCUCCUUCUCGGGAGAGUGUUAUAGCCGGUGGUGCAAAUGCACCCCGCCUGGACCGAGGACCGCGCUUCGGUUAGGAUGCUGGCGUAAAUGUUUGUAACCGACCCGUCUUAAACCACGGACCAAGGAUUCUACCAUCUAUGCGAGUGUUUGGGUGUCAAACCCAUGCGCGUAAUGAAAGUGAACGGAGGUGGGAACCCUGGAGGGUGCACCAUCGACCGAUCCAGAUGUCUUCGGAUGGAUUGGAGUAAGAGCAUAGCUGUUGGGACCGAAAAGAUGGUGAACUAUGCCUAAAUAGGGUGAAGCCAGAGGAAACUCUGGUGGAGGCUCGCAGCGGUUCUGACGUGCAAAUCGAUCGUCAAAUUUGGGUAUAGGGGCGAAAGACUAAUCGACCCAUCUGUCACUAGAUGAGAUACGGGCCGCGACGCCCGAGUAGUCCCCGCCGUGGGGGCAACAUCGUCGGUCUCUCGGGGACGCCUUCGGGCUACCUGCAGUGAGCUCUGGGCUCAUUCACAGACUAAGUGACGGUGGCCGUGCCUGCAGCGCGGUUA